rnacentral:rRNA from 1 species
UACGAAGGGGGCUAGCGUUGCUCGGAAUCACUGGGCGUAAAGCGCACGUAGGCGGAUUGCUAAGUCAGGGGUGAAAUCCUGGAGCUCAACUCCAGAACUGCCUUUGAUACUGGUGAGCUUGAGUCCGGAAGAGGUGAGUGGAACUGCGAGUGUAGAGGUGAAAUUCGUAGAUAUUCGCAAGAACACCAGUGGCGAAGGCGGCUCACUGGUCCGGUACUGACGCUGAGGUGCGAAAGCGUGGGGAGCAAACAGG